rnacentral:tRNA from 1 species
GAGAAUUGAAGAAUAAUAUAAUAGAAGCUGCUAACUAUCUAUUAAGGCAGUUAAAUUCUGUCUAAUUCUCU